CUCAAUAUGGCUACUGGGUGUAAAAGAUAAAUCUUAUUCUAUCUGUUCUUCAUGAGUUUUAGAUAAUUUUAGUUGUAUUUCUUUGUAAUUUUGUGUUGUACAAAGAUUAAUUUAACAUCUUCUCUGGAAGUAUUAAUUUAGAAAGAUAAUAUGCUUCAUUGGUGUUGUGUUUUGAAGUGUGAAAUGCAAAGUAAUUGUAAAGUCAAGAUAAAGUUCACUUUUAAACUGAACUAAAUAAGGUAUCUGAGAGACAACAAUGGUUAAAUGCAAUACAAUGUACAGGUUUUACUAGCGAAAUGAAAAUUUUCCUGUCCUGUCUGCUGUAAUCAUUUUAUAUCUGGAAAAUAGGAAAACCAGCCGACUUAAUCGAUAAUAACAAUCUCCAGAUUCCUUCAAUAAAUAUGGGCUAUAAACACAAUGAAAUAAGUUCCCCAAAAUCUAAAAUGGAGUGGUAUCAAAGGAGAAUUAAAGGAAAAAAUAUUCAUAUUGAAAUUAUUUAUAAGGCACUGGACUGUCUUAAAUUCUACAAUAAUACUAGAAUCAGCUGAGAGAAGUGGUCUACAAAAAACCAGGAAGGAAACGGAAUAUGGCUACGAAAGGCAAAAGAAAGGUUUACAAAGCAAAUGUGACACAUUUUUCUGAAAUAUUUAGGAAUAUCAGUAAAUUGCAUUAAAAAAAUGUAUGAAAAGAUUUUGUUCAAUAAAAAUGUUUAUAUUUA
rnacentral:lncRNA from 1 species